rnacentral:rRNA from 1 species
UACAGAGGUCUCAAGCGUUGUUCGGAUUCAUUGGGCGUAAAGGGUGUGUAGGUGGCGCGCUAAGUCGGGUGUGAAAUUUCGGAGCUUAACUCCGAAACUGCAUUCGAUACUGGCGUGCUUGAGGACUGGAGAGGAGAGUGGAAUUCCUGGUGUAGCGGUGAAAUGCGUAGAGAUCAGGAGGAACACCCGUGGCGAAGGCGGCUCUCUGGUCGACAUCUGACGCUGAGACGCGAAAGCGUGGGGAGCGAACGGG